rnacentral:rRNA from 1 species
UACGUAGGGGGCGAGCGUUGUCCGAAUUUACUGGGCGUAAAGCGCGCGUAGGCGGACCUUUAAGUGGAGGGUGAAAUCUCAGGGCUUAACCCUGAAACUGCCUUCCAAACUGGGGGUCUUGAGGUAUGGAGAGGGAAGUGGAAUUCCAGGUGUAGCGGUGAAAUGCGUAGAUAUCUGGAGGAACACCCGUGGCGAAGGCGGCUUCCUGGUCAUAUCCUGACGCUGAGGUGCGAAAGCCAGGGGAGCGAACGGG